CCUGCAAUAAAAUGUUGGCUGGCAAUGGACCCUGAACACUGAGCAAAACCUGAAAAGUUCAAAUCUGACCUACAGUUUUACAGCUCAACUCAUGACAAUAAAGGUGUUUGUUGUCACCUGAAAGGGGGAGGAGCCUAAGGUGUUGGUGGUUUCAAACAGACCUGGAGCUCAGGGUCUGAAGAGAGCAGCGCUGGCCGGCAUCCAGACCAGGGUUGUGGAUCACAAGCUGUAUGGCAGCAGAGCUGAGUUUGAUGCCACCAUUGACCUUCUCCUUAAAGAGUUUGGAGUGGAACUGGUCUGCCUUGCUGGUUUCAUGAGGAUCCUGACUGGGAUCUUUGUGAAAAAAUGGCAUGGGAGGCUCCUCAACAUUCAUCCCUCCCUGCUGCCUUCAUUCAAAGGGGUCAAUGCCCAGCAACAGGCUCUCCAGGCCAGAGUGCUGAUAACUGGGUGCACCGUCCACUUUGUAGCUGUAAGUGUUGCGCUAACACAUAUAAAGCUCAUCAAAUAAAUCCACACAAU